rnacentral:tRNA from 1 species
AAGGAUAUUUAAAGGAGAGCCGCUAACUAUUCCUAAAGUUUUGACUAUAUCCUUA